GACUCCGUCUCAAAAAAAAAAAAGAGUACAGGGCCAGGGUCCUUUUCCAUGAAUCUCUUUGAAGAAAAAGCAAAUUUGAACUGCAGCCAGUUGUAAAUCACUUUUUGAGAAGAAUCAAAAUAGAGCAAUAAUUGUCUAUGAAUGGCAAAAGACUUCGGGUAGCUAUAGUUAAAGAUGUAAUUAACAAGGAAAUUUGAUUAUUUCUGUGGCAUACAAUAAUUUAACAUAAUAACUAUAAUUAUGUGUGACAACAUAGACGUAUCAGAAUGUUAGGAAUCUCAUAACUUGAGAACACACAUUCAUAACGUAUCUAUACAAAUAUAACUCAAACAAAUUUAAACACCAUUUCUUAUUUGACAAAGCUUCCUGUAUGACUUUAACAUACCACGGUGGCUUAAUAUGUUUCUCUUGGGCCACAGGAGUUCCUUCUUAAAAAGGAAGAUUUAGCACACUUAAUUAAAAUAGGAUCACAGGUCAGUGUAAAACAAUAGUCAUUUAUUUUGCCAAAGUGAUAAUUUAAAGAUUUCAAAAAGCACCCUCUUUACUCUUUGAUAGAGAAGAGACCCGGUUUUCCAAUCAAAAGGCCUAAUAAAGACAGCAUGAAGAAUGAGAUGAACGGAGUCUUUUUUUCUCUUUUUUUUUUUUGCAGUUUACUCAAAAGGUAAACAUGAGUCUUUUAUUAUCUUAUUAAUAUUAUAUGAAACUCAUGUUCAAAAGAUAAAACCAAAUUCUACCUUUGUAUCAGCAUAUUAUUAAUGCUAAAGGUAAUUUAAUAAAACCUAAUUAUCAACAAAUCCAUCCAAUCUCAAUCAUCUUUGGCCACAUAAGAUUUCCAUAAACCUUUUAUAAACUCAUAUAAUUUUAUAUUAAAGAAUAGAUGGAUGCUUCAAGAAAACCCUGUCAUUCCAACAUUAAGGCCCAUACUCUGACCCUGCAUCAAUGUGCUUUUCAUAUUAAUGCACAGUUUCCUCAGUUUUUGGAAAAACUAAAUAAUUCCCUUCUAAUUUUAGCCAACUUGAUCACACACAAAAUUCCUUUCAUGAGAUUAAUCUUCCACAAAUCUUUGUUUUUUUUUUUGAAACAGAGUCUUGCUUUGUCGCCUAGGCUGGAGUGCAGUGGCACGAUCUCAGCUCACUGCAACCUCUGCCUCCCAGGUUCAAGGGAUUCUCCUGCCUCAGCCUCCCCCAGUAGCUGGGAUUACAGGUGCGCACCACCACACCCAGCUAAUUUUUUGUAUGUUUACUAGAGAGGGGGUUUCACCAUACUGGUCAGGCUGGUCUCAAACUCCUGACCGCAAGUGAUCCACCUGCCUUGGCCUCCCAAAGUGCUGGGAUUACGAGCAUAAGCCACCGCGCCCGGCCUCCUCAUUUAUUUCUACCUUUUUGUGCUUCUAUCUUGGGUCACCAUGCCCGGCCGUAUCUCCCACAAACCUUCUACAGUUCAUGUAACCUUCAAUUUUGGCCUAUACUUCCUUUUUCCUAUUGGCAUUCCACCUUAGGAAAAAAGUUUAUUUUCUCCCUUAUCAUUUUGACCACACAAAAUUCUUUCUCAUGUAAAAGAAAACAAAUUACUCUGUCUUUUCAAUUUUCUUUUAUUUUCUGUAUAUAAAAUUGUUUAUUUUGUAACUAGUAGUUUUAAUUACAUAUAUUAACUCCCAUUUUAACUUUUCUUUUUUCUUUUUUUUUUUUUUUUGAGACAGAGUCUCCCACUGUCGCCCAGGCUGGAGUGCAGUGGCACGAUCUUGGCUCACUGCAACCUCCACCUCCCAGGUUCAAGUGAUUCUCCUGCCUCAGCCUCCCAAGUAGCUGGGAUUACAGGUGCCCACCACCAAGCCCGGCUAAUUUUUGUGUUUUUAGUAGAGACGGGGUUUCACCAUGUUGGCUAGGCUGGUCUCGAACUCCUGACCUCAAGUGAUCCACCCACCUUGGCCACCCAAAGUGUUGGGAUUACAGGCAUGAGCCACUGUGCCCAGCGGGUUUUGCCUUCUUUUUGUCUUCACUGCUGCUACAGAAUGUAUUUGCAAGGGAGUCAACUCACAACUGAAGAAAUGAAAUUAAUGGUCACUUGAAGAACUGCAUUAACUGAAGAUGCAGCGGAGUAGCCUGACUCAGGUCACAAAGUCACUUCCCUCAUAUUGCUUUAAAUUAGGUUGCUACCUUAUCAGGUUGAUAGCCUGACAUUCCCCCUACCAUGGACAUGACACUCUAGGAAUGAGCCUUCUAGCAAUAAGGGACUAAGGUCCUGAACAUAAAAGGAGCCAAAACCAUUUGAGUUCAUCUAUGAAGCUUUCUUCCAAAGAUCUUGAUGAAAAGGGGGAAAUGUGAAGUUAAAUAAUUCAAGCUUAAAGCUGUUGAAACCUCGAAUUAACCUGAGCCUUGAGAGCAAUGUGGCUAUGCAAUCUCGGUCACAUGGGUUGCAGCUGCAACUUCUGCCUUUAUUUCUUCUUGUUAGUAAUUAAGAAGACCCAAGCUGCACCAGAGAUGAGACCCCCUCAGAUCAUUGCCCCUCCUCAUGGAGUAAUAAAGUAAUCUUCCUUGGUAUGAAGCAAUCUGUAACCAAUCCAAUUGCUGUGAUGUAUGCACCUGGCCUUGUAGGGUAGCUGAUGUAAUCUUCCUGGAACUUCUCUACUGAUAUCAAUGAAACCUUAACUCCUCCACGUUGGAAACUCUGAGCCCAUUCCUUUGGAGUUGGUACUUUCACUGGUAGCCAUCCUUAAGCUUUGCACUUGAAUAAACUCUAUACUCAAUCACACUUUCUGAAUCUCAUUCUUUAAGGUUAACACUUCCUUCCAAAGGCUCUAGGUGACAACUCUUUGCCUCUUUUCAACCUCUGGUGGCUCUAGGCGUUUCUUGGCUUGUAGCCGCCUCACUCCAAUGUCUGCCUCCAUUUCAUGUGGGGUCCUCCUCUGUCUUCUAUGUGUCUCUUACAAGGUCACUGUCAUUAGAUUUAGGGUUCAGGAUCAUCUGGGAUGAUCUCAUCCCGAGAUCCUCAAUUUGGUUAUAUCUGCAAAGAUCUUUAUUCCAAAUAAGGUGACAUUCACAGUUUCCGAUGGUUAGGACAUGGCCAUCUCUUUUUGGAGGUCAGCUUUCAAC
rnacentral:lncRNA from 1 species